UUAAUGAUAUAGUGUGCUUUUUACAAAGAAUUUUGUCGAUAUAGAUGGGACAUACCGCUCAACGCAUGGGAAAAGGCACUUUAAAAUAGCAUACUGGUUGUGUUUUGUAUUUUUUAGUUUUCUCUAAUAUGUAAUAUUUAUCAGGUAGUCCAUGUUAGUUAUUUUAUAGAAUCCAUGUUAUAGCUACAAGUUACCCAUAAGACGUAUAACAACCAUUUUUGUCAAUGUAUAAUGUAUAAGAAGUCCAAUUGAUUCAAGUAUAUCAAUAGCUAUUAAUGAAUGUGUGGGUUUUGCCCAAACAGGGUCAAACGAAUUAUUACCUGUCUUUUCCCCAAUUAGUCUUCGAUACACAAAGGAUCAGAUAACACUCAACGGAAGACUUUCUAUACCUGACAUCUGAAUUCAGUUUUUUUCAUUCUUGUGCUUUUCGUGGAAUAUUCUGCCUUGCGGGACAGGUCCCGUUUCUCACCAGACUCUGGGAACAUCCACCCUCUUCCUUCGUUUCACAGGUUAGGGCGGGCCUUCUUGACCUGCUUCUUCAAUCCACCAUGGAGCUCUUCAUUGUGCACCUGCUGGACUGGGGAGAUGUCUUCUUGAACACGUUGGCGGAGACGACCAUGCUCUGCGUUUUCAACAGGGGGGUGAGCGGAUCACUGUUGGAAGUGACAUGAUCGCCAGUGGUACUACAGCGGCCCUUACAUCCUUGAACAACAUCUCUCAUGAUCAAGGUUUAAUUGUAACAACAAUGUUUGGGAGAUAAUCAUCAUCUGUGUACACACAUAAUCCGUACUAUUAACGAUAUGUAGAAACAGUAAGCAUGGUAAGGUUCCAUGAUCAGUAUAUUUCACUUAUGGAGAAGCCUGUUCUCUCAUGACCAAAGUAUGUGAGUAUGGUAAGAUCAAGAUCAAACAGUCACUUUGUCAGUCACUAAGAACUUGGAGCAGAGUAGUAUACAGGCACAGGUAAUUAUACUUGGGACAUAUUCAUUUAUGCAAAAGGAGUGUCCCACAUUCCCUUCACUUUCACCGUUGACAAAUUGGGAUAUAGGCAAAAUGGUACUAAACGUUUGAUUUCUGUUUACACAGAUGGUAACCAACAGAGCCACACAAA